AAAAGAACGGUGAUCACAGUGGUAUAAAAAUUGCAUCGAACGGAGGUCGGGAAGGGCCUUAUCGGAGGUAAAAAUCGAGGAGGGGCGCGACGGCGCCGCUGGGCUUCGGCUGGGUUUUUCGGCCGUUUGGCCGGUGGUUUGGCUCCGGUUUGGCUCCAAUUUGGUCACAGGCGGACUCAGCAUCGAAAAACGAGCAAGGGGGAAAACAUUUACCUCGAUCGGCAGUCGUCCCCGGUGCGGCGGUGGGUGGCGGCGGC
rnacentral:lncRNA from 1 species